rnacentral:rRNA from 1 species
CCCUGCCAUUUGUACACACCGCCCGUCGCACCUACCGAUUGAAUGGUCCGGUGAAGCCUCGGGAUUGCGAAGACCCCGCGUCGACGCGAGAACUUGGCUAAACCUUACCAUUUAGAGGAAGGUGAAGU